AACGAACGCUGGCGGCAGGCUUAACACAUGCAAGUCGAGCGCCCCGCAAGGGGAGCGGCAGACGGGUGAGUAACGCGUGGGAAUCUACCCAUCUCUACGGAAUAACGCAUGGAAACGUGUGCUAAUACCGUAUACGUCUUUCGGGAGAAAGAUUUAUCGGAGAUGGAUGAGCCCGCGUUGGAUUAGCUAGUUGGUGGGGCAAAGGCCUACCAAGGCGACGAUCCAUAGCUGGUCUGAGAGGAUGAUCAGCCACACUGGGACUGAGACACGGCCCAGACUCCUACGGGAGGCAGCAGUGGGGAAUAUUGGACAAUGGGCGCAAGCCUGAUCCAGCCAUGCCGCGUGAGUGAUGAAGGCCCUAGGGUUGUAAAGCUCUUUCACCGGUGAAGAUAAUGACGGUAACCGGAGAAGAAGCCCCGGCUAACUUCGUGCCAGCCGCCGCAGUAAUAC
rnacentral:rRNA from 1 species